GACGAACGCUGGCGGCGUGCUUAACACAUGCAAGUCGAACGGAAAGGCCCUGCUUUUGUGGGGUGCUCGAGUGGCGAACGGGUGAGUAACACGUGAGUAACCUGCCCUUGACUUUGGGAUAACUUCAGGAAACUGGGGCUAAUACCGGAUAGGAGCUCCUGCUGCAUGGUGGGGGUUGGAAAGUUACGGCGGUUGGGGCUGGACUCGCUGCUUAUCCGCUUGAUGGUGGGGUAGUGGCUUACCAAGGCUUUGAAGGGUAGCCUGCCUGAGAGGGUGACCGGCCACAUUGGGACUGAGAUACGGCCCAGACUCCUACGGGAGGCAGCAGUGGGAAAUAUUGCACAAUGGGCGGAAGCCAGAUGCAGCAACGCCGCGUGCGGGAUGACGUCCUUCGGGUUGUAAACCGCUUUCGCCUGUGACGAAGCGGGAGUGACGGUAAUGGGUAAAGAAGCACCGGCUAACUACGUG
rnacentral:rRNA from 1 species